rnacentral:rRNA from 1 species
UCACCUGUUUAUCAAAAACAUGUCUUAUUGAAUAUUAAUUUUAAGUCAAAUCUGCUCAAUGAUUAAUUUAAAUAGCUGCAGUAUAUAUAACUGUACAAAGGUAGCAUAAUAAUUAGUUUUUUAAUUGAAAACUAGAAUGAAUGAUUUAAUGAAAUAUAAACUUUAUUAAAUUUAUUAAAUAAAUUUAUUAAUUAAAUAAAAAAAUUUAAAUUUAAUUUAAAGACAAGAAGACCCUAAAGAAUUUUUAUAAAUUUUAAUUUUUAAAAAAAAUAAAUUUAUUUUAAUUGGGGAAAUUUAAAAAUUUAAUUAAUUUUUUUUUUUAUAAACAUUUAUUUUUGAAUAAAAUAUAUUUUUUUAAAAAAAAAAAUAAAAUUACCUUAGGGAUAACAGCAUAAUUUUAUUUUAAAGUUCAAAUUUUAAAUAAAGUUUGUGACCUCG